rnacentral:rRNA from 1 species
CAUAGACGCGAAACCUAGUGAUCUAGGCCUGUCCAGGCUGAAGCUGAGGUAAGACUCAGUGGAGGGCCGAACUCACCGCCGUUGAAAAGUUGGGAGAUGAGGCAGGUUUAGGGGUGAAAAGCCAAUCGAACUAGGAGAUAGCUCGUUCUCUCCGAAAUGCAUUUAGGUGCAGCCUUGAACUGAGAUAUGUGGGGGUAGAGCUCUGUAUGAUCUAGGGGGCGUACUGCUUACCGAAAUCAAGCAAACUUCGAAUACCAUAUAUUAAUAGUCAGGAGUGAGUCCGCGGAUGACAAGGUCCGCGGACGAGAGGGGAACAGCCCAGACCGCCAGCUAAGGUCCCUAAUUAUGUCUAAGUGGGAAAGGAGGUGGAUAUUCACAGACAACCAGGAGGUUGGCUUAGAAGCAGCCAUACCUUGAAAGAGUGCGUAACAGCUCACUGGUCGAGAGUAUCUGCGCCGAAGAUGUAACGGGGCUAAGACAUAAACCGAAGCUGCGGAGGCGUGUCUGCACGCCUGGUAGGAGAGCGUUCUGUAGGCCGUUGAAGGAAUGCCGCAAGGCCGUUCUGGAGGUAUCAGAAGUGAGAAUGCAGGAAUGAGUAGCGAGAAGGCGGGCGAGAAUCCCGCCGGCCGGAAGUCCAAGGUUUCCAGGGGAAGGUUUGUCCGCCCUGGGGGAGUCGGGACCUAAGCAUAAGCAAAAAUGUGAUGGCGAAUGGAAAACAGGUUAAUAUUCCUGUACCACUAUUAUCGCUUGAGAGACGGAGUGACGCAGGAAGGUAUGUGAGAAGGCUGACGGUUUAGCCUUUCUAAGGGCCCAGCGUGGGCGUGCAGGUAAAUCCGCACGCCUAAACGUGAGACCUGACGGGGAAGUGCAUUUGCAUAAGUCGCAGAUCCUACACUGCCAGGAAAAACUUCUAUCGAUGAGAAGCAGCGCCCGUACUGUAAACCGACACAGGUGGACAGAGUGAGAAACUUAAGGCCGACAGGAUAACUCUAGCUAAGGAACUCUGCAAAAUAGCCCCGUAACUUCGGGAGAAGGGGUGCCUGACAUACCUGAAGAGAGAGACGCUCCCAGGGGAAACAGGCCGCAGUGAAGAGUCUCAAGCAACUGUUUACCAAAAACACAGGUCUAUGCUAAGCUGAAAGGCGACGUAUAUGGGCUGACACCUGCCCAGUGCCGGAAGGUUAAGAGGAGGAGUGAGAGCUCCGAAUUGAAGCCCCGGUGAACGGCGGCCGUAACUAUAACGGUCCUAAGGUAGCGAAAUUCCUUGUCGGGU